UACGUAGGGGGCUAGCGUUGCUCGGAAUCACUGGGCGUAAAGCGCACGUAGGCGGACUCUUAAGUCGGUGGUGAAAUCCUGGAGCUCAACUCCAGAACUGCCUUCGAUACUGGGAGUCUCGAGUUCGGGAGAGGUGAGUGGAACUGCGAGUGUAGAGGUGAAAUUCGUAGAUAUUCGCAAGAACACCAGUGGCGAAGGCGGCUCACUGGCCCGAUACUGACGCUGAGGUGCGAAAGCGUGGGGAGCAAACAGG
rnacentral:rRNA from 1 species